rnacentral:rRNA from 1 species
UAAUUUAUCUUUUAAUUAAGAUUAUUAGAAAUUUAUUUUUUAGUUAUGAUUGGGGUGAUUUUUAAAGAUUAUUAAUCUUUAAAAUUUUUUAAUAAAAAAGUUCCAUUAGUAGUGAUUUUUUGAUAAAAAUACUCUAGGGAUAACAGCGUUAUUAUUUUGGAUAGUUCAUAUAGAUAAAAUAGUUUGCGACCUCGAUGUUGGAUUAGGAUUCUUUUAUGAUGAAGAAGUUAUAAGGGAGAAGUUUGCUCAACUUUUAAAGUCCUACUUGAUCUGAGUUCAGACGGGG